rnacentral:hammerhead_ribozyme from 1 species
AGCUAGCUAACUAGUCCCAAAUAGGACGAAACGCUCUUCCUAGAU